GAUGAACGCUGGCGGCGUGCUUAACACAUGCAAGUCGAACGGAAAGGCCCAAGCUUGCUUGGGUCCUCGAGUGGCGAACGGGUGAGUAACACGUGGGUGAUCUGCCCUGCACUUCGGGAUAAGCCUGGGAAACUGGGUCUAAUACCGGAUAGGACCACUUCUUGGAUGUUGUGGUGGAAAGUUUUUUCGGUGUGGGAUGAGCUCGCGGCCUAUCAGCUUGUUGGUGGGGUAAUGGCCUACCAAGGCGUCGACGGGUAGCCGGCCUGAGAGGGUGUACGGCCACAUUGGGACUGAGAUACGGCCCAGACUCCGACGGGAGGCAGCAGGGGGGAAUAUUGGACAAUGGGCGCAAGCCUGAUGCAGCGACGCCGCGUGGGGGAUGACGGCCUUCGGGUUGUAAACUCCUUUCGCUAGGGACGAAGCGUUUUUGUGACGGUACCUGGAGAAGAAGCACCGGCUAACUACGUG
rnacentral:rRNA from 1 species